rnacentral:ribozyme from 1 species
CUAAAUGGAUACUUUUUUUUUCUGUUUCAAGCCUGAUACGGAAAGAAAAAGAGAAGAAAAGAAAAAGCUAAUAAUACGUGUACACUUAUUUGAAAUUUUUU